rnacentral:siRNA from 1 species
CUCCUUCUUCUUCUUGUGUU